UUUGCAUUUUGGAACAAUAAUUUUAAGGUUUUUCCAAAUUGCUAAUGAUCCAUAGUUCAGGUUGUGAUCUUGAGCACCAAUCACUAGGAAUGCAACUAUUUAUGGUAACACUGGUCAGGAAAUCCAUCAAAUAUUUUGUUCCUACAACAUUUCAAGUCGGAAAACCACACAUCACAGAAAAUGAUGAAAGACAUCGGAGCAUAACAUACUAAAACUGAUAUCAAAAUACUAUGAUUAAACAAAUUAAAAAAGGAAUUGGAGGAACAAAAAAGAAUCACUAACAAACAGAACUAACAUGGACAAACCCUGACCAAAGGAAUGCAAUAGAUAGAGGAUUUUUUUUUCCCUUCCAGAUUCAGUGUAUACAAGAUCAUUAAUCUGUUAUAAUGAUUAAACUAAAUGUGCUUAAAGGACUAACUGAUGCCCAGUUGCCAAACCCUAUGGGAAGUCGAAAUACAUGAUUACAUCCCAGGACUGAACACAGUGGAUUCACUAGACUGUGGGAUCAAAUAACACCAAACUGGCAAAAAUGAGCAUCAAUAUGCUGCCUAUAACUAUAUUUGUAAUCAAAAUAAAUUCUUCAACGGCUCAACGACAGCUACUUAUAAUCCACUAAAAAUUAAAUUUUAACAACUCAUCAUAUGCAUGAGUUUCUAUGUUAUUAUGUCACACACACGCACAAGCAUAGAAUAUGGUGAAUGAUUCAAAACAGAAAAGGAGAAAAUAACGAACAAGAAAGAAGAAAACUAAAACAAAACAACAAACUCAUGCCCUAACAGAGUUGUGAGACCAAUUAAUCCAUAAAAGAGCUGCAGAAAUCCUGACAAGUCAACGGCAAUUGCAAAACAACAAACAUUCCUAACAACAGGCUGCAACAAAUUCAAUAACCCAAAUCAACGGUUGGUAAAAAAAAACUACUAGAAUUUGAUCCUAACGCAACAAUUGAAACCUAUCAUUGCAUUUAAAAUCGAGUUUUCCUGACCAGCAUUUUAUCCUCAAAAGACAACCACCAAUCCAAAUGCAGAAAAAGAGCAAUUGAAAAACUAUUAACGACCACGUUUUAUUGUAUACAUUAAAACCAAAUAGAUAAAGAAACAAAACCCAAGCCAUAGUCUACGCCAUAAGUUCAAAUG
rnacentral:misc_RNA from 1 species